rnacentral:rRNA from 1 species
GACGAACGCUGGCGGCGUGCUUAACACAUGCAAGUCGAACGGAAAGGCCCUGCUUUUGUGGGGUGCUCGAGUGGCGAACGGGUGAGUAACACGUGAGUAACCUGCCCUUGACUUUGGGAUAACUUCAGGAAACUGGGGCUAAUACCGGAUAGGAGCUCCUGCUGCAUGGUGGGGGUUGGAAAGUUUCGGCGGUUGGGGAUGGACUCGCGGCUUAUCAGCUUGUUGGUGGGGUAGUGGCUUACCAAGGCUUUGACGGGUAGCCGGCCUGAGAGGGUGACCGGCCAAAUUGGGACGGAGUUACGGCCCAACCUCCUACGGGGGGCAGAGGGGGGGAAUAUUGCACAAGGGGCGGAAGCCUGUGGCAGCACCCCCGCGUGCGGGAUGACGGCCUUCGGGUGGUAAACCGCUUUCGCCUGUGACGAAGGGUGGGUGGCGGUAAUUGGAAAAAAAGCACCGGCUAACUACGG